CUGGCAGUCAGAGGCGAUGAAGGACGUGCUAAUCUGCGAUAAGCGUCGGUAAGGUGAUAUGAACCGUUAUAACCGGCGAUUUCCGAAUGGGGAAACCCAGUGUGUUUCGACACACUAUCAUUAACUGAAUCCAUAGGUUAAUGAGGCGAACCGGGGGAACUGAAACAUCUAAGUACCCCGAGGAAAAGAAAUCAACCGAGAUUCCCCCAGUAGCGGCGAGCGAACGGGGAGGAGCCCAGAGCCUGAAUCAGUGUGUGUGUUAGUGGAAGCGUCUGGAAAGGCGCGCGAUACAGGGUGACAGCCCCGUACACAAAAAUGCACAUGCUGUGAGCUCGAUGAGUAGGGCGGGACACGUGGUAUCCUGUCUGAAUAUGGGGGGACCAUCCUCCAAGGCUAAAUACUCCUGACUGACCGAUAGUGAACCAGUACCGUGAGGGAAAGGCGAAAAGAACCCCGGCGAGGGGAGUGAAAAAGAACCUGAAACCGUGUACGUACAAGCAGUGGGAGCCUCUUUAUGGGGUGACUGCGUACCUUUUGUAUAAUGGGUCAGCGACUUAUAUUCUGUAGCAAGGUUAACCGAAUAGGGGAGCCGAAGGGAAACCGAGUCUUAACUGGGCGUUAAGUUGCAGGGUAUAGACCCGAAACCCGGUGAUCUAGCCAUGGGCAGGUUGAAGGUUGGGUAACACUAACUGGAGGACCGAACCGACUAAUGUUGAAAAAUUAGCGGAUGACUUGUGGCUGGGGGUGAAAGGCCAAUCAAACCGGGAGAUAGCUGGUUCUCCCCGAAAGCUAUUUAGGUAGCGCCUCGUGAAUUCAUCUCCGGGGGUAGAGCACUGUUUCGGCAAGGGGGUCAUCCCGACUUACCAACCCGAUGCAAACUGCGAAUACCGGAGAAUGUUAUCACGGGAGACACACGGCGGGUGCUAACGUCCGUCGUGAAGAGGGAAACAACCCAGACCGCCAGCUAAGGUCCCAAAGUCAUGGUUAAGUGGGAAACGAUGUGGGAAGGCCCAGACAGCCAGGAUGUUGGCUUAGAAGCAGCCAUCAUUUAAAGAAAGCGUAAUAGCUCACUGGUCGAGUCGGCCUGCGCGGAAGAUGUAACGGGGCUAAACCAUGCACCGAAGCUGCGGCAGCGACGCUUAUGCGUUGUUGGGUAGGGGAGCGUUCUGUAAGCCUGCGAAGGUGUACUGUGAGGUAUGCUGGAGGUAUCAGAAGUGCGAAUGCUGACAUAAGUAACGAUAAAGCGGGUGAAAAGCCCGCUCGCCGGAAGACCAAGGGUUCCUGUCCAACGUUAAUCGGGGCAGGGUGAGUCGACCCCUAAGGCGAGGCCGAAAGGCGUAGUCGAUGGGAAACAGGUUAAUAUUCCUGUACUUGGUGUUACUGCGAAGGGGGGACGGAGAAGGCUAUGUUGGCCGGGCGACGGUUGUCCCGGUUUAAGCGUGUAGGCUGGUUUUCCAGGCAAAUCCGGAAAAUCAAGGCUGAGGCGUGAUGACGAGGCACUACGGUGCUGAAGCAACAAAUGCCCUGCUUCCAGGAAAAGCCUCUAAGCAUCAGGUAACAUCAAAUCGUACCCCAAACCGACACAGGUGGUCAGGUAGAGAAUACCAAGGCGCUUGAGAGAACUCGGGUGAAGGAACUAGGCAAAAUGGUGCCGUAACUUCGGGAGAAGGCACGCUGAUAUGUAGGUGAAGCGACUUGCUCGUGGAGCUGAAAUCAGUCGAAGAUACCAGCUGGCUGCAACUGUUUAUUAAAAACACAGCACUGUGCAAACACGAAAGUGGACGUAUACGGUGUGACGCCUGCCCGGUGCCGGAAGGUUAAUUGAUGGGGUUAGCGGUAACGCGAAGCUCUUGAUCGAAGCCCCGGUAAACGGCGGCCGUAACUAUAACGGUCCUAAGGUAGCGAAAUUCCUUGUCGGGUAAGUUCCGACCUGCACGAAUGGCGUAAUGAUGGCCAGGCUGUCUCCACCCGAGACUCAGUGAAAUUGAACUCGCUGUGAAGAUGCAGUGUACCCGCGGCAAGACGGAAAGACCCCGUGAACCUUUACUAUAGCUUGACACUGAACAUUGAGCCUUGAUGUGUAGGAUAGGUGGGAGGCUUUGAAGUGUGGACGCCAGUCUGCAUGGAGCCGACCUUGAAAUACCACCCUUUAAUGUUUGAUGUUCUAACGUUGGCCCCUAAUCGGGGUUGCGGACAGUGUCUGGUGGGUAGUUUGACUGGGGCGGUCUCCUCCUAAAGAGUAACGGAGGAGCACGAAGGUUGGCUAAUCCUGGUCGGACAUCAGGAGGUUAGUGCAAUGGCAUAAGCCAGCUUGACUGCGAGCGUGACGGCGCGAGCAGGUGCGAAAGCAGGUCAUAGUGAUCCGGUGGUUCUGAAUGGAAGGGCCAUCGCUCAACGGAUAAAAGGUACUCCGGGGAUAACAGGCUGAUACCGCCCAAGAGUUCAUAUCGACGGCGGUGUUUGGCACCUCGAUGUCGGCUCAUCACAUCCUGGGGCUGAAGUAGGUCCCAAGGGUAUGGCUGUUCGCCAUUUAAAGUGGUACGCGAGCUGGGUUUAGAACGUCGUGAGACAGUUCGGUCCCUAUCUGCCGUGGGCGCUGGAGAACUGAGGGGGGCUGCUCCUAGUACGAGAGGACCGGAGUGGACGCAUCACUGGUGUUCGGGUUGUCAUGCCAAUGGCACUGCCCGGUAGCUAAAUGCGGAAGAGAUAAGUGCUGAAAGCAUCUAAGCACGAAACUUGCCCCGAGAUGAGUUCUCCCUGACUCCUUGAGAGUCCUGAAGGAACGUUGAAGACGACGACGUUGAUAGGCCGGGUGUGUAAGCGCAGCGAUGCGUUGAGCUAACCGGUACUAAUGAACCGUGAGGCUUAACCU
rnacentral:rRNA from 1 species